rnacentral:lncRNA from 1 species
UCGAUUUGAGCUCAUAAGGGAAAUCUCCUUUAACAAUCACGAAAAUCAUUUUGAUUGCAAUUGGAAUCAACAACAAAAUAAUGAAAAACUACUACGUUAAAGCCUUGGAUCAAAAUUGAAUCCAUGUGAAACAAGAAAAAUAAUAAUGUAAAGGAAUAUUUUGAAAGAAAAUAAAAAAUUAAAGUAAAACCCUAAAAUAAAUAAACGAC